UAGGGAAUCUUCCGCAAUGGACGCAAGUCUGACGGAGCAACGCCGCGUGAGUGAAGAAGGAUUUCGGUUCGUAAAACUCUGUUGUUAGAGAAGAACAGCGCAUAGAGUAACUGUUAUGCGUGUGACGGUAUCUAACCAGAAAGCCACGGCUAACUACGUGCCAGCAGCCGCGGUAAUACGUAGGUGGCAAGCGUUGUCCGGAUUUAUUGGGCGUAAAGCGAGCGCAGGCGGUCAAUUAAGUCUGAUGUGAAAGCCCCCGGCUCAACCGGGGAGGGUCAUUGGAAACUGGUUGACUUGAGUGCAGAAGAGGAGAGUGGAAUUCCAUGUGUAGCGGUGAAAUGCGUAGAUAUAUGGAGGAACACCAGUGGCGAAGGCGACUCUCUGGUCUGUAACUGACGCUGAGGCUCGGAAGCGUGGGUAGCAAACAGG
rnacentral:rRNA from 1 species